UACAGAGGGUGCGAGCGUUAAUCGGAAUUACUGGGCGUAAAGCGUGCGUAGACGGUAGCGUAAGUCAGAUGUGAAAGCCCCGGGCUCAACCUGGGAAUUGCAUUUGAGACUGCUCUGCUCGGGUGCGGAAGAGGGAAGCGGAAUUUCCGGUGUAGCGGUGAAAUGCGUAGAUAUCGGAAGGAACACCAGUGGCGAAGGCAGCUCGCUGGGACGUGACUGACGCUGAGACGCGAAAAGCGUGGG
rnacentral:rRNA from 1 species